AUUGAACGCUGGCGGCAGGCCUAACACAUGCAAGUCGAGCGAGCGGCGGACGGGUGAGUAAUGUCUGGGAAACUGCCUGAUGGCGGGGGAUAAAUACUGGAAACGGUAGCUAAUACCGCAUACCAUCAGCUUUGCCCAGAUAGGAUUAGCUAGUAGGUGGGGUAACGGCGCACCUAGGCGACGAUCCCUAGCUGGUCGGAGAGGAUGACCAGCUACACUGGAACUGUGACACGGCCCAGACUCCUACGGGAGGCAGCAGUGGGGAAUAUGGCACAAGGGGCGCAAGCCUGAUGCAGCCAUGCCGCGUGUGUGAAGAAGGCCUUCGGGUUGUAAAGCACUUUCAGCGGGGAGGCGUUACCCGCAGAAGAAGCACCGGCUAACUCCGUGCCAGCAGCCGCGGUAAUAC
rnacentral:rRNA from 1 species